rnacentral:rRNA from 1 species
UACGGGGGGAGCAAGCGUUGUUCGGAUUUACUGGGCGUAAAGGGCGCGUAGGCGGCCAGCGCAAGUCAGUUGUGAAAUCUCCGGGCUUAACUCGGAACGGUCAACUGAUACUGCGCGGCUAGAGUGCGGAAGGGGCAACUGGAAUUCUUGGUGUAGCGGUGAAAUGCGUAGAUAUCAAGAGGAACACCUGAGGUGAAGACGGGUUGCUAGGCUGACACUGACGCUGAGGCGCGAAAGCCAGGGGAGCGAACGGG